rnacentral:lncRNA from 1 species
AUGGCGCAUACCAUUGGUGUUGUACCUAAAACAUUAUCACUGGAGUUCCAGUCCUCAUGGCAAUGCUGGAUCCUUAACCUGCUGAGCGAGGCCAGGGAUCGAACCUGCAACCUCCUGGUUCCUAGUCAGAUUUGUUUCUGCUGCACCAUGACAGGAACUCCAGGGCUCCACCUUUAUUUUUCUCCUUCAACAUUAUGAUUCUUCCUUCCUCCCUCCCUUCCCUCCUUCCUUCCUUCCUACCUUGUCUUCUCUCCCUCUCCUUUUUUCUCUUCUAGAAUCUCCUAUCUUUCUCACCUCCUCUACUUCUGUGUUGCUUCUUUCUCUAAACUUUCCUUUUUCUUUUCCAUUUUUUAAACCUCUCUUUUCCUUAUUUUCUCUUUUCCUCUCUUUGUCCCUGUCCUUUGGGGAGCCAUCCUAGGGCACAAGAAAAACUCUGUGCUUUGAAGCCAGAGGAACCAUGAAAAUGUAAAUUCUGCCGCUGAGAAUUUAAUUUCUGUGACCUUGAGUAAUUACAGUUGACCCUGGAACAGCGCAGGUUUGAACUGCCCUGGCCCACUUAGAGGCGGAUUUUUUGCAAUAGUAAAACUUUAGUACUUCAUGACCAGCAGUUGGUUGAAUCUGAGAUUAUGGGGGAACUGUGGACAGGAAGGGCGAGCUCUAAGUUAUAUGCAGAUUUUUGACGGCACCGAGGAUUUUUGACGGCACCGAGGAUCAGUGCCCCUCACUCUCUUGUUGCUUAAGGGUCAACUGUACUGUUAACCGGCUUAAUCCCAGGCUUCUCAUCUGUAAAGCCUGGUGCCGAGAGUGUGGCCCUCCCCUUCCUUCUCCCCACUCUCCACGGUGUCUGCUGAAAUCAUACCUAGAACUUGCAAAACAAGACCUCCCCAACCUCUGCGCUAGGACUGACAGAGGACAUCUGCCUCAUAUUUACUUACGGUUUAUGUAGAAAGUUGUCAUUUUCUUUUUCUCAACAGUAUUAGACAAGAACAUCUUUUAGCCCAACCACUGUUCUAAUUAGUAUUGUUUGGCUCCGAAUGCACCAAAAAAGAAUAUUUGGGAAUAUACAGCUCAUAUAGACACUCAGGGUCUACUCGUUUUGUGAACAUUAAGGGCAACUCUGUUUUUAUCAACGUAAACCUGAACAGCCAGUGGUUCCCUGUGAAUACUUGCAGUUUAUUUAUUUGUUUGUUUGUUUAUUUUAGGGCCGCACCCACGGCAUAUGGAGGUUCCCAGGCUAGGGGUUGAAUCGGAGCUGCAGCUGCAAGCCUACACCACAGCCACAGCCAUGCCAGAUCCGAGCCGCAUCUGUGACCCACACCACUGCUCAAGGCAACACAGGGUCCUUAACCCGGUGAGUGGGGCCAGGGAUCAAACCCGGGUCCUCAUGGAAGUGAGCCACAAUAGGAACUCUGAAAAUAAGUUUUUAAUCCUAGAAAACAAGUUGGAUAUGUGGGAGACAGUAUUAUUUUUGAUUCCCAGUCCGCAUUCCUCAGGCCUGUCCUUGGUGUCUCUUCCCAAAGGAGGGAGGUCUUCCCACCCUGUUGAGGUCAGGCUUGGCCACAUGACUUGCUUUGGCCAGUGGAAUGUGGCUGGAAAUGACACUUGCCACCUUCGAGCUGGAGCAUGAGGUACCAUUCAGGGCCCUGUCCUUGCUCCUUUUCCCGUUGCUUCAGACCCACAGGCCUCAGAUGAGGGCGCUCCCUAACCCCAUCCCCACGUGGAGCAGAACCACAGCUGACCUGUGAAAUAGGGGAAUCAUGAGUGAGGAGCCUUUGUUGCGAUCAGGGGUUGUUACUGCCGUGUAACUCAGAAACUAACAGAACACAGGUGUGAAAGAGACGUUCCAAAACGAGCUCUUAGUGUGGGCGGCUUCAUUUCAGUAAAAUCCAUCCUUUUGGGAGCUCCACCUAGCUCAUGAUGAUGCCUCGAUUGCCCGCUCCUGUCACCCUCCCCUGUCAGCAUCAAUCUGAGCCUGCUGACUGCCUUUAUCCAACUGUGAUUCUAAAGCUUAAAGCCCAUUUACCUACUGACAGUCUUGUAGGAAAUGUGCAAAAAGGUAGAUUUUCUGAAUUAUCAGUAAUUCCAAAGUGCAGCUCAAUUGUAAUACAACAAUCUAUAGAUCUAUGUUCUUUUAUCCUUUUUCUUUCUUUCUUUCCUUUUUUUUUUUUUUUUGCUUUUUAGGGCCGUACCUGUGACAUAUGGAGGUUUCCAGGCUAGAGGUCCAAUGGGAGCUACAGCUGCUGGCCUACACCACAGCCACAGCAAUGCGGGAUCCCUGACCCACAUCCUCACGGAUCCCAGUUGAGUUUGUUAAGCACUGAGCCAUGACAGGAACUCCCUGUGUACUUUUUUCUAAUAGCAAAGGGGACUGGGCUUCACUCCCUGGUCCUCUCCUGAACCAGGCUUGGCGUCCCCUGCAGCUCCAUGGCUUCCCAAGUACCUUCAGUAUUUUGGACCCUUCCUACCCACUUACCCCUUGGGAGCAGAAUUUCGGGUGGGGUAGAAUAUAAGUAAGUUCCCCAAGGGUCUUUUAGUCGGCAGGUUUUUACUGUUAUCCCUGUGACUAAAAUCGCCUUUCCCCAGUCAUAUGACACAUCACCAGAGAAUAGUGGUAGAAGGGCGCUUACUCUUUUGCCCCUCCUGGUUUCUGGAACUAGUCCACGGUUGAUGUCACAGUAGAUGCAGCCACCUUGGUACAGCAUGAUCCUGCCCUGGGCCAAGGUGGAGGGAGGGCCAACCUGGGCUGGGCAAGUAAUUCUCUCUGCAGAAUGUGAAUUUGGGGCGGCUACGUAACAUCUCUUGUGUCAUCUUUAUUAGCUCAGCAUCUAUUCCCCGUUUUGUUGGUAGCAGUCCCCCUUUGCCAAAGGUUGAGAGCCCAGCUUCUAGGGCCUGAGAGUCUGGAUCAGAUCUCAGCCCUGCAACUUGGCCGCAACCUGCUGUGAAACCUUGACUGAGAUGCAUUCACCUGUGCCUCCAUUUCCCCAUCUGUAAAAAGGGGAUAAUGGGCAGAUUUAAUUAGUAAACAAAUAACGCUGAAGUUAAAAUGAGUUGACUUAUCUGAAGCACUUAAAACCAUGCCCAGCAAACAGUAAACUGCAUGCAGCAUGUGCUCUUGCUGUUCUGUGUUUGGGGUGGGCUGUGGGUCUGACCACACCCUUGGCUCCAUCCAGUCACGGGUGGUUCAAAAGUGGGCAUGUGACCAAAGCUGGGCUUUCGCGCAGCCCAUCCUGGCACUUGUUGGGACUCUCGGAGAACCAGGGGGUUGGGGAAAGAGAGAAGCCAGAGUCCCUGUUAGUCCUCUGGUCCCAAGAGGGCUGAGCCAGCAGAAUGGGGCAGGUGCAGGUGCCAGUGGAGGGAGAGGCUGCCUCUUGUGCCCUGUGACCACCUGGAUCCAGCUGGCCAGGAAUAGUUACUUGAGCGGUUAAAUUCCCUAAUUAGCUUAAGCCAGUUUGAGUUGCUUUUUUUUUUUUUUUUUCCCUGUCCCUGGCAGAAGAAAAACAAUCUUGCUACUUUCAGGCUGGGCUGGUUCCUUGAAGUGAGGAGAUGUAAUGUUGUGCUGGUGCUGUGUGUGGAGAGGCCAGGCUUCCCCGUGGUUCUCCAGUGCUGAGCCUUUGCUGGCUGUUCCUGGGCUCCCGGGGCCUUUAGGACACCAGUGUAACCCGGUAAUGAGUUGCCCAUUUUUUGCUUUAGCUGGUGUGUUUUCUGUUGUGUGCUUUUAGGAAACAAUGUAAACAGAAUAUAAACAUUCCACGGAGUCCUCGUAUAUGAUGACUUGCUAUUGCAUUUACAGAGAAGAUCCAAAGAGAUGGACUUGUGUUUGACAGACAGAAAGCCUCUCUCCACACUAACAGUCAGCAGAUUACUUGGCUCCACAUACACAGCUCGAUAAAUGACAAAAGCAUGAUCUCUGGCUGCAACCAGAGAUCACAGAUGAAAACAUGGCCUUCCCCCCCGCCCCGUAACUCCCCCCAACCUGGCCCCGGGAGUUAUAGCCCCUGCCCAGUCCUAGGGACACUUGCUCCCCAACUUAUUUCACCAAUGGCUUCUCCUUUUUGCCCUCAUACAAGAGUCCCCUGUUAUCUAAAAAUUCAGGAUUUUAAGAGUGAUGCAGGCUUGCCUCUGCUCGUCCUCUGCCUACAGCCUGCCUGCUGCUCUCUGUACCCUAGGGACAUGCUUGGUCCUCUCAGAGCGACUCUGGCCAACGCCAGAGCCAGGACGUCAGGGCAUCAGUCUCUGCCACUGGGUGCCCCCAGGCUGCUGCUGCAGCUUCUGAGGAAGCUGGCCUUCCUUUCUUCCUAUACUCCUACUUAGCCGCUUUACUGUGAUUUCAGGUUCCAUGUACUCAAAAGCACCACUUCUGCACAAGCCCCAUACUUUGCUCAGCAGCAUGCCAGGACUGUGGAAGAGUGUGUGUGGCGGGGGUGGGGGUGGAAUUGCAGGGUGUAGACUCAAGUCCCAAUUCCACAGGUCCCUAAUCCCUGAUCUUGGGCAGGUCAAUACCACCCCUUGAGCUUUGGUUUUCUCGUCUGUAAAUGGGGUUGAUGACAACACCCAUCGCACAGGGUUGCUGUGGGCACCAAAGGAGCUGAUGUAUGGAAAAGCUCAUUGAACCCUGCAGUGCAUAUUACUGAGUUAUCUUGAGAGUGAAGAAUUAAGAAAGCAGGCUUGGGAGCUCCUGUCGUGGCACAGUGGUUAACGAAUCUGACUAGGGACAUGAGGUUGUGGGUUCGAUCCCUGGCCUUGCUCAGUGGGUUAAGGAUCUGGCGUUGCUGUGAGCUGUGGUGUAGAUUGCAGACGUGGCUUGGAUCUCGUAUUGCUGUGGUUCGGAUCCUGCAUUGCUGUGGCUCUGGCGUAGGCUGGCAGCUACAGCUCCGAUUGGACCCCUAGCCUGGGAACCUCCAUAUGCCGCAGGAGCGGCUCAAGAAAAAGGCAAAAAGACCAAAAAAAAAAAAAAAAA